GAUGUGAGGGUGGUCUGGUUGUGACACCUGCCAUCCAUUGAUCACCAGAGUGAACUGGCUGAUGUGUUGGGUAGAUCUGGGGAAGGGUAUCCCCUUUUCUUUCGCAGUUC
rnacentral:sRNA from 1 species